AAUUCUCUGGUAAAUGAAGAGGGGUCAGGUCGCAUGCUUAGUCUCGGUCUUUGGAGUGGGAUGCGGGUUCGGUUCGCGUGCCGUGCUCCCACCUGUUCGCACCUCUAUUGCUGUCCGCAAUUCCUGCUCUUCAAAGCCGAUCGCUGGCCUCCGAGACUGUGGGAGCCGGCGCCAAAGACGCACGCAAUCGGGCGCGCGCACGCUCACACGGAUAUGCGCAGGCUCACAUUCAGACGCGCGGUGGACGUGGCUUUAUUACGGACGCAGACAGACGGGUCAGGAGCAGGGACCCGAGGGGAGGCAGGAGGACAGCGAGGGCGUAGGCGUCGGUACGAGGCUGAAGAGUGCACGGCGGCCAGUAGAAGGCCUGCCACCUCGAGGCCGAGCAGCGUGGGAUCGUGGAGGUUGAGCAGUUCCCUCAGCGCGAGCAGCACCGGCGCGCAGUGAGCGCUCUCCUCCAGGCCCUGAACACAUUGGGGCAGGGGUUUCCAGCCGCCCUCGGCUCUACCCGACUACUGAGAUUCUCGACUGUCUGUCUGCCCUCCCGACGAGCUCUCACCAAACCCAGGAAAAGCUCCUUGAGCUGGGCAGCAUCGUGCCGAAGGCGCUCAGCCGCCUGGGUCCGCUCGUCCACACCGCGGCACACGAGGCGGCCCUGCAUCAGCGCGCGUAGGUAUUGCAACACCACAGUUCGUUCCGCCUCCGCCAGCAGCAGCUGCAGGACAGUUCUUCCAAUACCAGGCGGCAGAUCCUCCUCUGUACGUCAUCCAACGCGGAUUCUAUUGGAGCCAAGACCCCUGAAGCGUCUCCGUCGGGCAGCAGGACAGGUAACGAAGAGCUGAGCCAACCAAAAGUACGACUUCAGGACCAAGGCCAAGGCUCGCACGGGCCUCAAGGAAUCAUCCAUUCUGGCGCCACCUUGUGGUGCAAAGUGUGUGGUGGGAGCGGGGGCGGGAAGGGUGGCUGUGAGCUUAUGGAGGUCUCCGGUAUUCUGAAGGGCUAGGAAGGGCAUACCCAGAGGUAUGCCUCUAAGGUAACCUCGAGUUAAGUCAUUCUUCCUGUUACUUCGUUUCCUCAUCGGUAAGGGAGUGGAGCUAAUUUAGUCAAGAGGGAGUUAAAAAGCAUCAGCUUGUAUGUCUGUCUGUCCUUGUGCCUGCCACAAAGAGCAUAAUACUCAAGAAGACAGCCAGGCCUGGUGGAGGCUGAAGAUGGAAGAUUGCUACCAGUUUGAGGCCAGCCCGGACCACAGAGUGAAACUCUUGUCUCAAAGUAGGAGGAGCAGAGGGAAAUUUUCUUGUUCAUCGCUGUAACUUCACACAUUAUCUGAUGCAGAGUAAAGCCUUGAUAAAUAUUUGCUGAAA